rnacentral:rRNA from 1 species
GAACGCGAAGAACCUUACCAAGACUUGACAUCCUCUUGCCGGGAUAUGUAAUGUAUCCGUUUCUUCGGAACAAGAGAGACAGGUGGUGCAUGGCUGUCGUCAGCUCGUGUCGUGAGAUGUUGGGUUAAGUCCCGCAACGAGCGCAACCCUUGUUGUUAGUUGCCAUCAUUAAGUUGGGCACUCUAACAAGACUGCCGGUGACAAACCGGAGGAAGGUGGGGAUGACGUCAAAUCAUCAUGCCCCUUAUGUCUUGGGCUACACACGUGCUACAAUGGUCGGUACAGAGGGCAGCGAGAGAGUGAUCUUGAGCGAAUCUCAAAAAGCCGAUCCCAGUUCGGAUUGUAGGCUGCAACUCGCCUACAUGAAGUCGGAAUCGCUAGUAAUCGCAGGUCAGCAUACUGCGGUGAAUACGUUCCCGGGUCUUGUACACACC